rnacentral:lncRNA from 1 species
UUUCUAUUACUAUAAAAACAUGGAAGAGACCCCUUAGGCACUGUGUCCCCCACUCCCUACAAAGUACAAACACAACCCUUCUUAGUCACUAAGGAAACAGUUGCCUUUCUCACCCCUUAUUUAAAACACUUCACAUGCAACUUUGAGACUUUGAGCCUCUGCUAGGGUGGACAAUGGACCUCUCUUUUCCCUUUCCAAGUUUCAUUCAUCAAAGAUAUUAACAUAUUUCUUAUAUGGAUUUAACUUACAUAUAUUAUACCUAAAGCAUUGGAGCCACAGUAGUUAUUUUUGUGUGAUAUAUAGGCCGCGGGUUCGAUCCGUGAAAUCAAUAUUGAUGUUUGCAUCAGAUUAGGUUGUCUACAUCACACUCCUCCUUCCUCGAACCCUGAGUGAAUACAGAAUACUUCAUGCAUCAGACUGCCUUUGUUUACACUGAAAAACAACAACAACAAUAAUAACAUACUCAGUCUUAUUCCACACUAUAGGGUCUGGGAAGGAUAGUGCAUACGCAGACUUUACUCCUACCUUGUGAGGAUGGAGAUGAUAUUUCCAAUAGACCCUCGGCUCAGGAAAGAAUAAACACCAAAUCAAUAACAAUUUGAACAAGAAGCGACAGUACCAAAAAGUCAUAUAAAAAAAAAACAAUAAUGCUGUAUAAAGAAUUAUGCGCUAUCAAAGUUUUUACUAUGUUAACGCAGGAAACUUGUUUUCCAAAUAACUGAUCAUAUUUUAUUUUACGUGGUUAGGUUAAAGAAGUUAAACUUUUAUACAAUGAUACUGUAACAAAAUACUUACGACAUUAGGUAAUGAAAAACUAAGUGUUCGAAGAGUGAGGGAACGGAAAUUCGGAUAUACAACUAGUCGUCGAAUUCACUAUAUGUAUUUUUUAUCAGCAUAAUAUGCUAAAUUAAAUAUGAUUAUACACAUGUUCUACAUAAAAGGAAGCCUACAUAGGAUACAAGAUCAUAAAAAUGAGAGGAAGUCGACAAGGUGAGUUCUUGAAGAGAAAAUUGUGAUGAAGAAAACGUGCUGAGAAUUUAAACUCACGAUGUUAGAAGUGCAAAAUCAAUGAGUGCAGGAACUGCUGCAGUUGCUUCAGCAGGAGCCACUGUCGGUAUUUAGUUACUCGAUUCAUGCUGUAGUGCGAAAUCCAUCGUUGACAAAAUAGUUAUGUGGUUAUGCUAUUUUGC